GCGGGCGUGGCGGAAUUGGCAGACGCGACGGGCUCAAAAUCCGUUUCUGGCAACAGAGUGUCGGUUCGACCCCGACCGCCCGCACCA
rnacentral:tRNA from 2 species